AAAUUGAAGAGUUUGAUCAUGGCUCAGAUUGAACGCUGGCGGCAGGCCUAACACAUGCAAGUCGAACGGUAACAGGAAGCAGCUUGCUGCUUCGCUGACGAGUGGCGGACGGGUGAGUAAUGUCUGGGAAACUGCCUGAUGGAGGGGGAUAACUACUGGAAACGGUAGCUAAUACCGCAUAACGUCGCAAGACCAAAGAGGGGGACCUUCGGGCCUCUUGCCAUCGGAUGUGCCCAGAUGGGAUUAGCUAGUAGGUGAGGUA
rnacentral:rRNA from 1 species